AAAAAGAAAAAGAUCAGAAAAAUUUCCUUUACACUUUCUGUGCAAACCCAAAAACGCAAACGCAAACGCAAAAUCGAUCAAUAAGCGAUUCUCACAAAAUCAAAAUCUUUUGCGAUUUUCACUCAAUUUCCCCAAAAUCCCUCUCACCUCCGCCGCUGAAUUCAUCUUCAACCUCCCGCGGCAUCUCCGCGGGAUUUUCUAGGGUUUUUCCGAUCGAACCCUUUCUUCUCUGCAAUUCUUCCACGACGUUGUUCUCCAAGUCAUGCCUCCCGCGCGUCGACGCGGAGCGAACAAAGCCAAAGAGAACGGACACUUGCGGUUAGGCGAUCUUGUCCUUGCUAAGGUUAAGGGCUUCCCUGCUUGGCCUGCCAAGAUAAGUAGGCCUGAAGAUUGGGAGAAAGCUGUUGAUCCGAAGAAAUAUUUUGUUCAAUUCUUUGGCACCAAUGAGAUAGCUUUUGUUGCACCCACAGAUAUUCAGGUAUUUACAAGUGAGUAUAAAAGUAAGUUGUCUGCUCGGCUUCAUGGCAAGACAAAGUACUUUACCCAAGCUGUGAAGGAAAUAUGUGCAGCUUUUGAUGAGUUUCAGAAUCAGAAGACUAGUGGCGACGACACGGAUGAUUCUCGGAUUGGUUCAGAAGCUCCUACUGUUGAUGAGGCAGUGGGUAAUUCAAAGGAUACCACUGAUGCUGUGACAUCUAAUGCUGAAAAGGAUAAUAUCUAUGUGAGUAAUGCUGGCUCCGAUUCGGAGGACUGUUUGCAAAAAACCAGAGAGAGGGGUAGCCUAGAUGAACAGGUCACUGAGUCUGGCCGUCCAAAUGACAGUUCUUCUGUUUCAUCACCUUUAGUCAAAAGUAAAUUAUCCACUGGAUCAGAGAUAAAGAAGAAUUCUAGCAAACCCACCCUUAAAAGUGCAAGUAAUGUUAAUGAUUUUGGGCAACAUGAUAACGGAAAUAGUGUCUUAACAAAUGGGAGUACGCCAAGAAAGCUUGUUACUGGUUCAAAGAGGAGACUUGAAGUUGCAGAUGAUAGAAAUAAAAAUGGUGGAUCUUCUGCUGGAACAAUUUUGAAGGUGGGAAGCUCUACUGGCAGCGCUGAUCUUUUCAGGUCGGGGGCGACAUUUAAAAUAGGAAAGAAAGGAAAAGAUGCAUCUGCUGUUAAAUCAGAUUCUCCAGACACUCUUAAACCAGACUUGAAUGGUAAUACUGGAGAAAAAGGUAAGAACUUGAUUUCAAAAAACACAAGUCUUGAGGUAAAAAAUGAAUUACACGAGAUCAUGUCUGAUGCCAAGGAGGCUGGUGGCAAAAAUUCAAGCAUGGGAAAGAAGAACCAAGUUCAUACGAAGCAUAAUGUGGGAGCAAAUGAAUCCUUACAUGCUACGAAGAAGUUGAAACGCAUGGAUGCUAAAGAUGAUUCAACUUCAGGGCACAUCCCAAAAGAUGUGAAAAGUACUUUGCCUUGCUCUACUUUCGUUGAAGAUAAAUCAUCUAAAAUGUUCGAGUUGAAAAGGUCCACAUCAAAUUCAAAAGCAGAAAAAAGCUCUGGCCGUGAGUUGCCACCUACAAUCAAACAUCAUAGCCAAGUUCAGAAAACUAUGCCUGAUUCUGAUAGAAUUGCUUCUGAUGAGAAAAAAGAUUGGAGUAAUCUUAAACUGAAAGGUGAUAUGAAGAAUGUUAUGACAAAACAAGUACAGAAGAAACGUAAAGCUGUUUGCCUUUAUGAAGACGAUGAUAAACCUAAAACUCCUGUUCAUGGAGGAGCUGCAAAAAAUAGCAAGUCACCUUUUGCUUCAGAUGUCAAGAAGGGCAAUAAUGCACAUUCUGAAAAAUCUGAUACUGCUCGUCUGGCUCUCAGAAAUUCUGGUGAAUUUGUGGACGCUCACUUGAAAGAGUCGUCUUCUCAAUUACAUAGUCAUACAUCAUCAAUUAAGCCCCCCCAAAAAGAGAAAGCUGAUGAAGUCAUUACUGUGCAUGUUCCUCAUAGUCAUGAUAAGUUAGAUUCAAAGCAGUUUCCUUCUAAGGCGGCAAAAGUAAGCUCUGCCUCUCCAGUAAAAUCACCUCAGGCAGUUCCCGCAAUAACCAAGUCAAAUGCUGAGCGGAGUAAAUCUUCCAAAUCUUUGCUUAAAGCUUCCAGCAUUGCUACUCCAAAGAAAGCUGAUAAUGGGUCUUCAAAAUCUUCACAUAACCUCAGCUCUUCUCAGAACCAGGUUUCUGCUCAUAAGAAGAAGCCGGCAUCUUCAGCUGAAGUUUCUAAGACUACUCCAAAGACAUUGCCUCAGGCAGUUGACAUUCCUGUGUCAGCAGUAGAUUUUAAGGAGCCUGAUGCACUACAUGUUGAUAGAUUGGAAGAGGGUAUGGAAGAAAGAAGUAAUAUGAAGAAUCUUAUUGCAGCUGCCCAGGCAAAAUGGAAAAAAGCUCAUUCUCAAUAUCUUUCUUCUGAUAUUCACCACGUUCAGGGAGAGACUCCUAGCCCCUCCACACUACAGCCAUUUCUGUCUGUCUCAAGUAACUUUGCACAUGCAGAUGUGCAGGGAGUUCAUGAGCACACCACUUCGGUUUCUCCUCCAACUAACGAGUAUCACUCUGCAUCUCAAAAUCAGCUCGAUGCUGAUGAAAUUGAGGAGAGAAGGGUCAGUUCAGUGCAAAGGGGUCCUGGAGGCUCUCUCAGUGGUGGUACGGAGGCUGGUGUUGCUCGUGAUGCUUUUGAAGGAAUGAUUGAAACUUUGUCAAGGACCAAGGAAAGCAUUGGGCGUGCAACGCGUCUUGCCAUAGACUGUGCUAAGUAUGGCAUUGCCAACGAGGUUGUUGAACUUCUCAUUCGGAAAUUGGAAAAUGAAACUAGUUUUCAUCGCAAAGUGGAUUUGUUUUUUCUUGUUGAUUCUAUCACCCAGUGUUCACAUAGUCAAAAAGGAAUUGCUGGAGCUUCUUACAUCCCUACAGUUCAAGCAGCGCUGCCACGUCUUCUAGGUGCUGCUGCUCCCCCUGGAGCUAGUGCCCGUGAAAAUCGUCGUCAAUGUCACAAGGUUUUGAGGUUGUGGCUUGAGAGGAAAAUUUUGCCUGAGUCCGUUAUUCGCCAUUACAUGGAUGAAAUUGGGGUUUCAAAUGAUGAUAUCACAGUUAGCUUUUCCUUCAGACGUCCAUCUCGUGCUGAGCGAUCUGUGGAUGACCCAAUUAGAGAAAUGGAAGGCAUGCUUGUUGAUGAAUAUGGAAGUAAUGCAACAUUUCAGCUGCCUGGCUUUUUGUCUUGCCAUGCAUUUGAUGAAGAUGAGGACGAAGAAGAUUUACCAAUCAAUUCAUGUACAGAUAUGUAUGGUACAUCUCCAGUAGAUCCCACACCCAAGUUUGGAGGAUCAGAAACCGACACUGUGACCCCAAAUGACAAGCGCCAUUGUAUCUUGGAGGAUGUGGAUGGUGAGCUAGAAAUGGAAGAUGUUUCAGGUCACCCAAAGGAUGAGAAACCUGUAUAUUUGGACAGUUCUGUCGAAACUGAUAUGCUUCUUCAGAGCUCAAAUAGGAAUUUAGACCCAACUUCAGAUAUUGCAGAAGACAUAUUGGCUACUCCUGAGGGUUCCAUUCCAUUACCUCUUGAUUCACCUCCUCCAACCCCACCUUUGCCUUCUUCACCACCUCCACCUCCUCCUCCAUCAUCUCCAUCUCCUCCCCCACCACCACCACCACCUCCAAUAUUGCAACCAUUGCCUCUUUCUUUACCAUCCUCAGCCCCACCAGUAUCAUUGGUUCCUCAAUCGUCUGGACUGGCUCGGCCUUCACAUGUCUCCCAAUCAUUAAUGCCACCUCAGUCCUAUCAGUCAUCCCCAAAGUUGGGGUAUCAGCAGAAUGUACCUCAUGACUUCAGUAGACAAUUAGAAUACGGACAGAAUGAUUUGUAUAUAAAUGCCCAAGUUCAUCAACCUAACCAUCAGUAUCAGCAGGGUAACACCCCAUAUGUUCAGAGACAUACACAUCCUGCCCCACCCCAAAAUCCAUCAAAUCAGUUUUCAUAUACAAAUCAGACAGUUCAGCAACACCUUCCACAUACAUUCCAUCCUCCAUUUCCUUUACCAUCUCUUCCAGAUAACCUAAGGCAAUUUGUUAGUGAUGAGCAAAGGAGAAUGUCAUCGACAAACAAUCAACAUCAAAAUGUUGUAUGGAGAGGGAUAAAUCCUACAGGCCCUCCCUUUGGGCAAGAAGGUUUCCGACCACCACUUGAAAGGCCUCCAUUAAGCAAUGUAGGUUUUCAUCGAGCAGUUUCAAGCACCCUACCUAGUGCACCAGUACCAGGACAUGGUGUUCCUCAGAUGUUGCCUGGCAGGCCAGACAUUACUACUGUUAGUUGGAGACCCACUUGAAGUUAAUUGGAGUCUUAUUAAAAUUAAUGUUGUUGCCGAUGGAUGAACAUGCACGGCUAUUUAUUGUACUGCAAAGUUUGAUUUGGCUGUGUAGUACAUACAACUUACCUGUGAAGAGAAUUUUGAAAACUUGGGGAGGCUUUUGGCAGGAUUGUGUAUAUUGUAUUUUUCCUGACAAUGUAUCCCAGAAACAUUGGCUUCCAUGUUUAGGCCCAUGUUACUGACUUGGUUUUGACAAAACAAGAAAAGAUGUUGAACUCUUGGUCAUGCAUUGAAUGAUAUAACUCAGAAUAAGGCAAACUCAUCACAUUGAAAGACUGCUGAUAAUUGAGGUAAAUAGUCAUGCAAUUUCAGAACAGACAAUGCUAUAGUUACUGACUUCAAUUAGUAUGCAAGGGCACCUAUACAUAAUGUAUCAAGAACUCCGGUAAAACAAAUUCCAUAGAAAUAUUUAUUGUACAUUACGAUUUUUAGGUUGCUUUCCUGUACGGUGUAAUGCAUAAGUUAGAAUUCCUUGUUUUCCUGAGUUCUUUCUGAAGAAAUUAAAUUAGUAAUAGGAAAGUUUUAGCUACAGAAAUCUUCUUUGGUUAUACACUUAAAAUUAUGAUAUUUAUGGUGCCUUGCAUUGAGAGCUAAGGCAUGAUCUGUCAUA